rnacentral:lncRNA from 1 species
CCUAAGAAGGUUUCAGAUGCUCUGAAGAUGCAAAUCCAUUGGUGUCCAGCUCCUUUAUGACAUCAGUGCUUCUGUGGGUUGUCUGAGGAGCUAUGCCAAGGACCAGUGGGUAUUUUCUGUGGGCCGAGUAGUCUUCUGGGACAGUCUCCCAGCUUGGCCUCAGAGCCAUGUGUUAGUGAACAGCAGUGGCUGGUUUCCAAUAACCUGCAUUUAUCAAAGCAGGCUGGCAGAAGCACUGGCCCUAGCUUGCCAGUUUCUGACCCACCUAGUCAUGGGCAGCCCCACCCCCAGCACAAUAAAUUAAUGAUGCUCCCCCUUCACUCUGGAAAACAUCUACGUUUGGAUAAGAGAUUAGGCAUCACUCUUUCUGUAAGUGACAU